GCACUUCCCACCGGCCGGAGCGCCGUGCACGAUCUCCACUGGCCGGCGGCGCAGCACCGAGGAAUUUACCGGGGAGCUCCGCUGGUAUGGUCACCAGACUAGACAGGGGAAGCCCGCCGCGGCAGCCGGCUUGGUCAGCGUGGAUUUUUACUUGGAACAAAAUAGGCAAGGUCUAAACUUUUCUAAAAUCUAAAGCCUGGAUACCCCCAGCCGUAGAGGUAUAGAGGAACCUACGAAGGACAGGUUGAAGAAAGUAAACCUCAGACAUGCAGCGAGGGAUACCCUACUGUUCUACACUGGACACCGGUGCCGGCAUAUAUGCCCUGUCUGCGCUAAACUGCCCGCACCUGCCAACAACGCAGGGUUCCGAACAGUGGAGACCAUCUCAGUGCACGGAGAAGGUUUCACUCUACAUGGCGACAAACACAACAGUUACUCAAGAAUACAAUUAAGAAGUGGAACAAAAUACCAGGUGAGUGCCUGACCAUCCUUAUUUCAUGCAGUAUUGUACAUAUAAUAAUCACGAUGGUUAGGCAAUGUUCGCAUAUCUAUAGUACUUCUUUCAUGAAAAGCUGUGUGUUUUGAAACACGGUACCAUGUUUACUAUGAUGUCAUUGCUGGGAAAACAAUGUAGCCUGGGUGCCAGGCCCCUGUGCCACCAUAGUCAAUAAAGUCAGGGAAAUCUCACGCCUGGAACACAGAAUU